rnacentral:tRNA from 1 species
GCAUCCAUUGCACAAUGGUAGCACGUUUGACUUCAGAUCAGAAGGUUGCGUGUUUGAAUCACGUCGGGUUCG